AAGAAAAAGAGCAGAGGCAGGAAAAUGAAGCGGCUAAGAGAGUGCCACGAAGUUGAAGAAACGUUCUGUUUGGGACGACGAAUAAAUUGAGCUCCCGGAUUUGAAUCGAUCCGCCGGAAAAUCAAAAGAAGGAAAUGGGCGAUCACUACUCGGUGUUGGGCUUGACAAGGAACGCGAGCAAAGAAGAAAUAAAAGAGGCCUUCAGGAAACUGGCGGUGAAGCUGCACCCAGACAAGCAUUCCCACUCCUCCAAGGCCGUCAGGGACUCCGCCACCCUCCGAUUCAAGCAGGCCUCCGAAGCCUAUCAGGUCCUCAUCGACGAUCGCAAGCGCGCCGACUACAACUUCCGAACCUCCUCCGCCGCUUACGGUUACGGUUACGGUUAUAGUCGAAGUAAUAACCGGCGCAGAUAUGCUUCUGCUUCUGGACCCUCCAGCUUUGACAGUCUGCUUCGCUAUCUCACCACACGCGCCUUCCUUCUCAACGUCUCCGUCGCAGGCGCUUUUUUGGGUGGCCUGGCUGUCGUGAAUAUGGGAUGGGAUGCUCUAUGGAAGAUACGUAAUUCUGGGAAAUCAUUUGAAGACGCAAUGAAAUCUGUGGAAAAGGCCAAAGAACAAAAGGAGAAGCUGUAGGAGGUUGUCACUGUGUUUCUGGUUUGUCUUCGCCUGACAGUAGUUGAAUGCCUAACUAAUAGAAUUUGGUGACCUCUAUAUAAAAAAGUUUGAUUUUCCUUCCAAGUUCCUGAAAUUUUGUCUCUGGAGGUUAGCUCUAUUGGUGCUUGCCAGGUCUGAUUCUCCUUAUGGUUAGCUCAUACCCAUAUAUAAUGUAGUGGUGAAAGUGUGUAAUGUUAUUAUAUUUCUGGUAGGAUUGAUGAUGACUGGUAUGAGAAACAGAUUCUGUAGGUCUGUACAAGUUCAAUGAGUGUUGAGAGUGGAAUAGAAAAGAAAAAAAAUUAAUUGAGUGGAAAUCAAAUGUCAUAGUCAAAAACAAAAUAAAAUUAAUUGUGUGAUCAUGUCUCCUGAAUUUGCAUUGGUGUCUAGUGUAAGUAUUAUAUGAGUGAUAUUUGUGGAUUUACGACCAUUGUUAAGUUUAUUUCUCAGUUGGAGAAUUUUUGAGUAGAUACUUUAAAGCAUAUCUAAUAUUUGAUACAGCCUUGGGGAGAAUAUAACCUAUAUAAGCAGUUGGCCAGAGUGCCUUUAGAUAGACUGGUAUUCCCCCUUGAGGGUCUCUAUCAGUUUGUUAAAGAAGAUAAGGAAUGGAAUAUGCUGUGACCUCUGUUUUCAGUAGUUAGUAUUCCAAAUGAAAUAAUUAUUGGUUACUCGAAUGAACCUGCCAUUUUGUCGCUCUUUUCUUUUUUUGGGCAAUUGGCGCUAUCAGUGUAUCUCUCCUUCAUUUUUUUCUCGUGAGCAAACAAUAUUGUCUAUGUUAAAAUGAAUAUCUUUAAACAUUAAGUGUUUAAUGAAUCUCAUUGUACAUGAUUGAAGACAAGCUAAUACUAAACAACAUGAUAAUGGCAAUUUGUGAGGCUUGUCCAAGAUACAACAGUUUUGAUAGUUCAAAAAUGAGUAAUAUGAACUACAGAAAUUGUCACAACUUGGACAAGUGGCAUACGUUGCCAUAAUGUUGUAUGCGGCUUGUCCAAUUUCAAUAAUAUAAAAGUUGGUUAAUCUUAUGUUUACUCUCAUUCUUCUUCAGUAGUGUAAGCAUUUCCAGGUAUGCCACAUCUUUCAUGAAGCCAAUUUUACUGCAGAUGGUCUUCCUGAGUUGAGACAUACUGCAACCAUAACAGAGAGGGAAGAGGGAUGGUUAUAAUCUCACGACGUAAUAUGAUAGGCAGUGUUAGCAGCAGUGUCCUUGCUAUCUUUGUGGUUCUGGUAUAUUUUGAUAUGGCAUUGAAGGUGUGGUACGAAAAGUCAGCCUGUAUGGUUGAAUAGGAUUGCCUGGCCAGGAGGGAUAAGCUUACCUCUAUGCUCCAAUUUUUAGACAUCAUCGCGCUCUAGUUUCUGCCGGCAUUUAGCUCCCGACUGAAUGAGAAGACUUUUGCGGAUUUUAGUAGGUGGUCUACAGCUCCCCAUAUAUAUGCAUAACUCUGCACUCAAGAACACAAGAAUACAAGAACUAGUGAUGCCGCAAUUAGUAUUGUGUGUUACAAGUUACCAAUGUGGUUGUGUUUAUGCUUGUAGUAGUAGCAGAAGUCGAAACACAUAAGAAAAAAGAGCUGCUUAUGCUUCUGCCUCGGCGUCAGCAGCCUUCAAAUCUCAGAAGGUGCUUUAAUAUGUCACUGAAGAUUGGAAUGAAUCUGUGUUGCCGCCUUGCCAGGCACUCUUCCCCGCCUCUCUGAUGUAGUCUGUUGACAUUGAUUUCCAUUUGAAUGAAAUAGAGUGACUACUGCGCGGUCUUAGCUAUAUGGAUUCACGUAUGUACUCUUGUUUGCAGAUGAAGAGUAUUCUACGGGAUCAACUCUCAGUUUCAAUCUUCAUUCGUCAGCAAGUAUUACCUUCUUUCAAGCAUUAGCAGGACAAACUCAGAAAAUUCCCAACUGAUUUUUCUGGUAACUGACUGUUCUAUUUGUACAAUGCCACUGUCGACUACACUGUAGGCAUAUUCCGGUUAUUUCCACGCUGUCUUGAAGUCUUUUUUUUUUUUAG